AACGCAUCUUGCGCUCCUUGGUAUUCCAUGGAGCAUGCCUGUUUGAGUGUCACGUAAACCCUCACCCUUGCGAUGUAACAGUCGCUCGCGGUGGACUUGGACUGUGCCGUAACCGGCUCGUCUUGAAAUGCAUUAGCUGGCGCUUUUAGAGUGCUGGGCGACGGUGUGAUAAUUAUCUGCGCCAAUGCCUUAGGCCUCUUCAGCGGUGCUGCUUACAGCCGUCCCUCUGCGGACACAUUUUUUAAAGCUUUGGCCUCAAAUCAGGUAGGACUACCCGCUGAACUUAA
rnacentral:misc_RNA from 1 species